UGAAGCCAUGGCUAGAGCUGGGCAAUGUGGAGAAAAUCAAAUAUCCCAAUAUUUGUGACCAAAUUCCUCAAUAUCAA